rnacentral:rRNA from 1 species
UUCACAUUUCCUCCAGGCUGAAAGAGUUGGUCAAUCUCAAUUUCAAUCCAGUACUCAAAACAGUAGAGGACAAACUUCAGCGUUGGAACAACCUACCCAUAUCCCUCAUAGGCCGAAUUGCUGCAAUAAAAAUGACAAUAUUACCAAUGAUCACUUACCUCUUCUCAAUGAUCCCCUUUAAACCCCCACCUUCUUGGUUCAAAUCCUUAGAUUCAAUCAUUACAAAAUUUUACUGGAAGAGCAAGACACCAAGAAUCAAACUAACCACUCUGCAACAACCCAAAACCCAAAUAGGUCUAGAAGCUCCAACCUUUCUCAAUUACUUCAUAUCCACUCAACUUCAAUACAUUUACAAAUGGACCAAACCAUUUGUACUGUUAAGUGGUUAAUCAAGAACGAAAGUUGGAGGUUCGAAGAUGAUCAGAUACUGUCGUAGGUCCAACCAUAAAGGAUGCUAACUAGCUAUCCUGCGGUGUUAUUCCCAUGACCGGCCGGGCAGCAUCCAGGAAACCAAAGUCUUUGGGUUCCGGGGGGAGUAUGGUUGCAAAGAUGAAACUUAAAGGAAUUCACUGAAGGGCACCACCAGGAGUGGAGCCUGCGGUUUAAUUUGACUCAACACGGGAAACCUCACCCGGCCCGGACACGGAAAGGAUUGACAGAUUGAUAGCUCUUUCUCGAUUCUGUGGGUGGUGGUGCAUGGCCGUUCUUAGUUGGUGGAGCGAUUUGUCUGGUUAAUUCCGAUAAUGAACGAGACUCCGGCAUGCCAACUAGUUACGCUGCCCCGUGCGGUCAGCGUCCAACUUCUUAGAGGGACAAGUGGCUUUCAGCCACACGAGAUUCAGCAAUAACAGGUCUGUGAUGCCCUUAGAUGUCCGGGGCUGCACGCGUGCCACACUGAGUGGAUCAGCGUGUCUACCCUUCGCCGAGAGACUUGGGUAACCCGCUGAACCCCACUCAUGAUAGGGAUUGGGGAAUGCAAUUAUUUCCCAUGCACGAGGAAUUCCCAGUAAACGAGGGUCAUAAUCUUGCGUUGAAUAAACCUGACAGACAGCACACAAAACCCUAACACUACAACUAUUAUACCUCAAAAACAGUACAACAUAGCAACAACAUGUAAAUACAACAUUUACA